UAAACAGUCAACUGGACCAAGCAUCUACAUGAAGAUUUCCGGCUAUGAAAGCGUGACUCUGCCAAGAAUCCAAUUUUUAGAUUUUAAGUUUUUUUUUUUUUCUUUUCUUGUCUCUAGGUUUUACAAUUUGUAAGAAACUUGAAUGGUAAGAUUUGAAGUUAGUUUUUUUAAAUGGGAAGUUGCGUUCUUCUAUUUUAGAUUGCAAUUGAAAGGAAAUAAUUUUGGAUCUAUACAAAUAUGUAAU
rnacentral:lncRNA from 1 species